GUUAUGUUGAACAUUUGCACUGCAGUCGUGUGUACACUCUUAAUUAGCUGUGAGAGCACUUCUGUUUUCAUCUCAGAAAGUUAAUAUGAAAUCUUUGGGCCAGUUGUGUUUGUUGACUUACUGGAUGCAAAAAUAGAAGUGAAAUGAUGCACAUCACUUUCACAUUGCUACAAAAAGAUCAAGAAAUGAAAUGGUUCUCUUUAUUCCAAGACUGCAAAAUCACCCCAUGAGAGUGUGGCCCAAGCAGCUGGAACAUCACCAGACCCACUGAAUGCAUG
rnacentral:lncRNA from 1 species